CCUGGCUCAGAUUGAACGCUGGCGGUAUGCUUAACACAUGCAAGUCGAACGGCAGCAUUAUCUAGCUUGCUAGAUAGAUGGCGAGUGGCGAACGGGUGAGUAACGCGUAGGAAUAUGCCUUAAAGUGGGGGACAACUUGGGGAAACUCAAGCUAAUACCGCAUAAUUUCUUCGGAAAAAAGCUAGGGACCUUCGGGCCUGGCGCUUUAAGAUUAGCCU
rnacentral:rRNA from 1 species